UAGCAACAAAAGGGUCAGAAGAAAUGAAUGUGGAUAUUUUGUAUGGGACUAAAUCUUCAAUAUUAAAUGUCGCACUAAUCCCAUAGGCUUCAGAAAAAUCUACAACAUAAGCAUUCGAACUGAUUUUCUUUAGGAUUUUGAAUGGUCCCGCACUACGGGAUUGCAACUUUUUGAAUGUUUCCGAAGAAAGCCGUUCAGAUCUAAUUCUCACCAUGACAGAAUCUCCUACAUUCAACUCUUUAUAACGUCUGUGCAAAUCAGUAAGGAUUUAUAUUUUAAGUUAUUAGAGUGAAUACGUUUGCUGAUUUUCUGAUGCAAUGAAUGCAGGUGUGAUGCAAAUGAUUGUGCAGACUCAGAGACUUUAUGUUGAUGAGACAUGGAAAUCAAGUCUAUGGGUUGCCUAGGUUUAUAUCCAUUCACCACUUCGAA
rnacentral:lncRNA from 1 species